rnacentral:rRNA from 1 species
UACGGAGGGUGCAAGCGUUAUCCGGAUUCACUGGGUUUAAAGGGUGCGUAGGUGGGUCUGUAAGUCAGUGGUGAAAUCUCCGAGCUUAACUCGGAAACUGCCAUUGAUACUAUAGGUCUUGAAUAUCCUGGAGGUGAGCGGAAUAUGUCAUGUAGCGGUGAAAUGCUUAGAUAUGACAUAGAACACCAAUUGCGAAGGCAGCUCACUACGGGAUCAUUGACACUGAGGCACGAAAGCGUGGGGAUCAAACAGG